UGGGUCAGGACCUUGAGAAACGCAGUUGCUUGGGCAACGGGGAUUGUCCUGGUGGCUUUGUUUAUUUUGGUUAUUGCUACAAGUUUGUUUUUGCGACAAAGACCUGGAUUGAUGCUGAGCUUCCCAUCCUAUUACCUGCCAGGAGCAAACAAGAUACUGAAAAUUCAGAACAUGGACAGUGAGCACCUGGCAACGUCAACUCACUGCUUGCUUCAUUAGGACCUUCACGUUGGGCACCAGGCUCAAGUAUCUCUUGACACGCUCCAUGGACAGGGGCACAUGGUAUAAGUCGGGGUAAAGAGAACUGUGCUGAUUCCUUUGGGAAUUCACUUAUUGGAACAAUGCACCUUGUGAUUUGAAAGUGUAUUCCCUUUGCUCCUACAAAUUGCCGUCUCCCUGCUGCUACCAGGAUAAUCUAUCGCUGCUCCAUGGAUCCUGUCUGGGAGUGGAUGUAGUGCCUCAAUCUGCUUGUAAUUGCGGUCACAGCCAAUGAGGACUGUACUGACUUAGUUUCUCAGCCAAGAAUAAAAAUUGCAUCAUGAGUUGUGUGUUUGUUACUGUGAGUCUAGUUUAUAGCA